rnacentral:rRNA from 1 species
CGCAAGCCUGAUGCAGCGACGCCGCGUGAGGGAUGACGGCCUUCGGGUUGUAAACCUCUUUCAGCAGGGAAGAAGCGAAAGUGACGGUACCUGCAGAAGAAGCGCCGGCUAACUACGUGCCAGCAGCCGCGGUAAUACGUAGGGCGCGAGCGUUGUCCGGAAUUAUUGGGCGUAAAGAGCUUGUAGGCGGUUUGUUGCGUCUGCUGUGAAAGACCGGGGCUUAACCCCGGUAUUGCAGUGGGUACGGGCAGACUAGAGUGCAGUAGGGGAGACUGGAAUUCCUGGUGUAGCGGUGAAAUGCGCAGAUAUCAGGAGGAACACCGAUGGCGAAGGCAGGUCUCUGGGCUGUAACUGACGCUGAGAAGCGAAAGCAUGGGGAGCGAACAGGAUUAGAUACCCUGGUAGUCCAUGCCGUAAACGUUGGGCACUAGGUGUGGGGGACAUUCCACGUUUUCCGCGCCGUAGCUAACGCAUUAAGUGCCCCGCCUGGGGAGUACGGCCGCAAGGCUAAAACUCAAAGGAAUUGACGGGGGCCCGCACAAGCGGCGGAGCAUGCGGAUUAAUUCGAUGCAACGCGAAGAACCUUACCAAGGCUUGACAUAUACUGGACCGCCUCAGAGAUGGGGUUUCCCUUCGGGGCUGGUAUACAGGUGGUGCAUGGUUGUCGUCAGCUCGUGUCGUGAGAUGUUGGGUUAAGUCCCGCAACGAGCGCAACCCUCGUUCUAUGUUGCCAGCACGUUAUGGUGGGGACUCAUAGGAGACUGCCGGGGUCAACUCGGAGGAAGGUGGGGAUGACGUCAAAUCAUCAUGCCCCUUAUGUCUUGGGCUUCACGCAUGCUACAAUGGCCGGUACAAAGGGUUGCGAUACUGUGAGGUUGAGCUAAUCCCAAAAAGCCGGUCUCAGUUCGGAUUGGGGUCUGCAACUCGACCCCAUGAAGUCGG